UUUAUCCCCUUUUUGCUGCCCCAAAAGUCUUCCCCUUAUCUCAUUUUCUUGGCUGCACCAGACAGAAAGUCCAGCCCUCUUUCCCUACUCUUUUCCUUGUUCUUUGUUUCUUUCUUCUCUCCUUCUUACAUGGCAGCCCUCCCUCUCUCACCAAAACAAAAUAUCCCUCUCUAAAGAAGAAAUUAAAGGGUUAACACUAAAAUUUCAGCUUCAAAUUGUUGGGGGAAAGUAAUCAAAACUUCAAUUGUUUAUUUCUACUUCUUUAAUCUCUAUCCUGAUUUUAUAGGUUGAAUUAUGAUUCUGUUUUAGUGAUUUGAAGGUUUGAUGAUAUUAUGGUUUAUUGAAUGUUUAAUAAAAUAUUUUAGUAUGUUUAUUAUAGGUAUAAAAAUACCCAAAUGAAAUUAAGGCCUAUUGCUAUUUGUUGAUAAUUUUGUAAGAAUAUGUACUGAAGCUGUCUUUGUGACAGAUUUGAUGUUUACAAAAAGAAAAAUAUCUAUUAAAUCAUAUUCUUUGAAUUAGGAUGCUAGGAGUAGUUUUUAUGAAUUCUAAGACACACAUGAUUGUUAUGGAAGUGGUCUCACAGAAUUUGGAUGAACAUAAAAAUAAUGGUUUAAUUUUUAAGUUAUAAGAAAUUCUGUUAGGACAGAUUUGAGUAUGCUGUCUUUUGUGAUUUUUAGUAAAUCAUGGGUUUAUUCUUUGACUCCGAAAUUUUUAUGGUUUAUACUGGACAUACAGGGGAGUAGUUAUGUAAAAUUUAAUGACAAUUGGAUGUGUGUGGACAGCCCGUUUGUAUUUUACAAAUGGAGCAUAUGCUGCUAAAAUGAGCAGUGAACAACAUAUGCUACACCUGACUUUGUGGAUUUAAUUCUCAAGUUAGGGUGAAUGUUUUGAGCUAUAAUUUAAUAUGCUCAUCCUUUGGUAUGUUAGAAUCAUAUAUAAAUUUUAUGAAUUGGUUUCUCUAUGAUUUAGUAUAUCAUGUUGUUUGAUGAAUGUAUUUUGUAUUUGUGGGAACCUCUUUGAGGUGGGAUUAGGACUUCCUUGAUUUUAAGAGAUAGGCUUUGAGAUGAAUGUGUAAAUUUAUGAUAAGGAAUAAUUGAUAGUAAGUAAUAAGCUUUGAUACUUGGUUUAGGUGUUGCCAGUUCCCCAAGUUUAAGCUCCGUCGACUGUAGGCUCUCGGUUCCUCCACUUUCAGUUAGCAGGUUUUAUUUUGGAGCAGAGGGAGCCUUAGUCGAGUUUGGAAGAAACUAGUUUUAGUUUUAUAUGUAUAGAUCCUAAAUUAGUAAUUUGAUGUUUAGCUUUGUGGUAUUGUGUAUUUUAGGAUCUAAUGAAAGUUGUGUACCUUAAAGUAUUAAGAGAUGUAUUAUGUGAAAGUGUGGAAAUUAAAUGAUUGGUGGAUUAUGUUAUAUUU